rnacentral:lncRNA from 1 species
UAUUACAUCAAAUCAACAUUGGUAGAGUGAAUUACUUAUAUUAAACCAUUUUGAAAAAUUAACAAUACGUUUUAAACACUAAAACAAGAGAUUCUGUCUAUUUUUAUGAUUAAUAUUAUUGACUUAAAUUGUAAUGUAUUGAUAUUUGAAUUUUUAUAAAUCUAAAAUUCUAAACUAUAAUGUAUUGAAAUCAUAGUGUGUUGUUUUAAAAUAAUGACCAUGAAAAAAAAAAAUAAAGAAAAUAAAAGUUUAUAAGGACAAAGAUGGGUUAAAGUUAUGAAAACAAAACAAAAGGUGAAAAUAAUGUAGAACUACUUUUAUAAGAAACGUGAAACAUAUUAGUUGGAAACAUGGUCAUUGAUUUAAAAUGAUAUAUUCAGAUAAAUAUUACAUAGCUACUUAAUAUAUUUGUUUAAAAUAGUAGCCUUCUCAAACUGACUAGGUUUAUUACACCAAAUCAACAUUGGUAGAAUGAAUUACUGAUUUUAGACCAUUUUUAAAAAUUAAUAUAUGUUUUAAACACUAAAACAAGAGAAUCUGUCUAUUUUUAUGAUUAUUUUUUUUGUGACUUAAAUUGUAAUGUAUUGCAAUUUGAAAUUUUUAUAAAUUUGAAAUUCUAAAAUAUAAUGUAUUGAUAUCAUAAUAGGUUGUUUUAAAACUAUGACCAUGAAAAAAAUGAAAGUUUAUAAAGACAAAGAUGGGUUAAAGUUAUCAAAACAAAACAAAAUGUGAAAAAUAACGUAGAACUACUUUUAUUUGAAAUGUUAAACCUAUUAGAUGGAUACAUGGGUAAAGAGCUAAGUAUGCUUUGAACAUUAUAGGAUGGGUUGAAGCACUCCAAAUGCAUGUCUUUGAGUGAAAAUGACAUAUUCAUAUACAUAUGACCUAGCUACUUGAUGUAUUUGUUUAACAUAAUAGCCUUCUCGAGGUGACUAGAUUUAUUACAUCAAAUCAACAUUGGUAGAGUGAAUUACUUAUUUUAAACCAUUUUGAAAAAUUAACAAUACGUUUUAAACACUAAAACAAGAGAUUCUGUCUAUUUUUAUGAUUAAUAUUAUUGACUUAAAUUGUAAUGUAUUGAUAUUUGAAUUUUUAUAAAUCUAAAAUUCUAAACUAUAAUGUAUUGAAAUCAUAGUGUGUUGUUUUAAAAUAAUGACCAUGAAAAAAAAGAAAAAGAAAAUGAGAGUUUAUAAAGACAAAGAUGGGUUAAACUAAUGAAAAAAAAACCAAAAUGUGAAAAUAACGUAGAACUACUUUUAUUUGAAACGUGAAACCUAUUAGAUGGAUACAUGGGUAAAGAGCUAUGUUUGCUUUGAACAUUAUAGGAUGGUUGAAACACUCCAAAUGCAUGUCUUUGAGUGAAAAUGACAUAUUCAUAUACAUAUUACUUAGCUAUUUAAUGUAUUUAUUUAACAUAAUAGCCUUCUCAAGGUGACUAGAUUUAUUACAUCAAAUCAACAUUGGCAGAGUGAAUUACUUAUUUUAAACCAUUUUUAAAAAUUCAAUAUAUGUUUUAAACACUAAAACAAAAGAAUAUGUAUUUUUUUUUGUUAAUUUUAUUGACUUAAUUUCUAAUGUAUUCAAAUUUGAAUUUUUUUAAAUCUAAAAUUAUAAAAUAUAAUGUAUAGAUAUUAUAUUAGGUUGUUUUAAAAUAAUGACCAUGAAAAAAAGAAAUAAAGAAAAUAAAAGUUUAUAAAGAUAGAGAUGGGUUAAAGUUAUGAAAACAAAACAAAAGGUGAAAAUAACGUAGAAGUACUUUUAUAAGAAACGUGAAACCUGUUAGAUAGAUAAAUGGUCAUUGAUUUAAAAUGACAUAUUCAUAUAAAUAUUACUUAGCUACUUAAUUUAUUUGUUUAACAUAGUAGCCUUCUCAAUGUGACUAGGUUUAUUACACCAAAUCAACAUUGGUAGAGUGAAGUACUUAUUUUAGACCAUUUUUAAAAACUAAUAUAUGUUUUAACACUAAAACAGGAGAAUCUGACAAUUUUUAUGAUUAAUUUUAUUGACUUAAAUGGUAAUGUUUUGAUAUUUGAAUUUCUAUAAAUCUAAAAUUCGAAAAUAUAAUGUAUUGAUAUCAUAAUAUGUUGUUUUAAAAUAAAGACCAUGAAAAAAAUAAAGAAAAUGAAAGUUUAUAGAGACGAAGAUGGGUUAAAGUUAUCAAAAACAAAAUAAAAUAUGUAAAUAACGUAGAACUACUUUUAUUUGAAACGUGAAACCUAUUAGAUGGAUACAUGGGUAAAGAGGUAAGUUUGCUUUGAACAUUAUAGGAUGGGUUGAAAAACUCCAAAUGCAUAUGUUUGAGUUAAAAUGACAUAUUCAUACACAUAUUACUUAACUACUUAAUGUAUUUAUUUAACAUAAUAGCCUUUUCAAGGUGACUAGAUUUAUUACAUCAAAUCGACAUCGGUAGAGUGAAUUACUUAUUUUAAACCAUUUUUAAAUAUUAAAUAUAUGUUUUAAAUAUUAAAACAAAAGAAUACGCAUAUUUGUUUUGUGAAUUUUAUUGACUUAAUUUGUAAUGUAUUCAUAUUUGAAUUUUUUAAAAUCUAAAAUUCUAAAAUAUAAUGUAUAGAU